CUUUCUCUCUGUCUGUUGCUCUUUGUCUGUUUGUCUGUCUGUGGCUGUGUCCCAAUUCCUAGGACGCAUCCUUCGAAGGCUGCAUUCGAAGGAUGCGUCGACGCCGAUUGCGUCACAGCGACGCGCCAAGUGCUGUCCCAAUUCCAAGGGUCCUUCAAAUGCGGCCUACGAAUGCAGCCUUCUUUUCCCGGAUUUGAAGGAUGCAUCGGCUGUAUCCUUCACGGCCCAACGUAUCCCAAGAUCCUUCACGGCCCAACGUAUCCCUCCCAAGAUUCAUUGCGCACUCAAUCAAUGGAGAUGGCGGAGAAUGGCAAUUUAAGUUCUGCAUUUAAAUGGAGCCAGCAGCAUACUGCUCGAUUUAUUCUAUUGAGGGGGGAGAACGAUGAGCUGUUCAACGGGGUGAAAUACUGGGCUUGGGGGUAAAGAAACAAUCGUAUAAACAAUUUAGUUUAUAAAAAUUAUUAUUGGCCAUUUAUAUAUCUACAUUUGACCAUCUUGUAAAUUGUUAAAUUAGCCCUCAUUAAACAGCAGGACAGAUACAACAUCCCCAGAAAUCGUUUACUACAAUGUCCUAUUUUGGGUUAUUAUAGAAAGAAAGACAAAAAAAGUCACAGCUCGCAUCAGUACUAGACAGCACUAGCAAAACACACAAAGAAAAAGGGUGUUUUGACUUCUACUGGUUGUCUUGAAGCCCAUUAUUAUGGGCUUCAAAUAGGAUGAGGGCUAAUUUAAAUGUAACCUUUACAAGAUGGUCAAAUAUAUAUAUUAUAAAUGGCCUAUUGUUAACAUGGGCUAUUAACAUGAUUGAUUAAAUAUAUCUCUUGUUUUCUCUGAUUAAUAAUGUCUGUGUUUUGGACAAUUCUGGAGAAAAUAGGCCUGCAGGGGAAGGUGACUCCCCGGCAGGCAAAGAAAAAAAUAUAAAGAUUGCAAGUAUCCAGGGUCAGGAGAGGGGGUAGGUGGGAAACCCACUGCUGCCACUUAGCCCUGGUUUGUCCCCAUGGAUGAGGUAUUGGGACAGAGGCAUUCCACCAACCCCUGUCCUAAUUGCCUCCAUCCCUGAGAACACACCAGGGACAAGUACAGCAGUGGUGGAUCAGGAGGUGGAGGACAAGGAUCAGGAGGAGGAAAGACAGCGAGGGCCAAGGUCCAGAAAGAGGGACAGAGAGGAAGACAUGUUCCAGAGUCACUCACUAUCUUCCGAAAAGGACUCAAGACUCACCUGUUCAGAGUCCACCUCGACUGCAUAGCCACCCUCCCCCUUCUGGCCACCAUUGUACACUGUGUUGUAUUGUAUUGUAUUAUAGUACUUAACUGUGUAGCAACUGCAGUAGCUGCUAUCAUGGCUGUAACACGGGGAAUUGAUUAGCCUAGAGAUUGUGGUACUUGCACUUGGUUCUAUGAACAUCCUUUCUGUACCGACAGCGAUAUAUUGAUGCACUUCUUAUGACAAAUGUACUUGUAAGUUGUUGUAAGUCGCUUUGGAUAAAAGCGUCUGCUAAAUGCCCUAAAUGUAAAUGUAAAAUGUAAAUGUUCCAGUUAAUAAAGAGGACAUGAGGCUACAAAGGGAGGCAGAGGAGAGAAGAGCCCAGGAGAGCAGGGAAAGAAUGGAUAGUUUUUUCUCAAUUUUGGAGCGUUUGGUGGACAAAUAACUUACCGGUUGCUAGGUGACAGGAGCAGCGCGUGG
ensembl:lncRNA